rnacentral:rRNA from 1 species
AUCGAACGCUGGCGGCAGGCUUAACACAUGCAAGUCGAGCGAGCGGCGGACGGGUGAGUAACGUCUGGGAAACUUCCUGAUGGAGGGGGAUAACUACUGGAAACGGUAGCUAAUACCGCCUACUCUCAGAUGUGCCCAGAUGGGAUUGGCGAGUUGGGGGGGUAAUGGCUCACCUCGGCGACGAUCCCUAGCUGGUCUGAGAGGAUGACCAGCCACACUGGAACUGAGACACGGUCCAGACUCCUACGGGAGGCAGCAGUAGGGAAUAUUGGACAAUGGGCGAAAGUCUGAUGCAGCCAUGCCGCGUGUGUGAAGAAGGCCUUCGGGUUGUAAAGCACUUUCAGCGGGGAGGCGGUACUCGCAGAAGAAGCACCGGCUAACUCCGUGCCAGCAGCCGCGGUAAUAC